UCGGACCGACAGCUCGACAUGCU
rnacentral:miRNA from 1 species